UUCAAGUCACUGCUGUGCUGUUGGCUGUGAAAGCAAGAGAACAGCUUCUGCAGAUGAAAGGCCAGCGAUGAUAGCAGUGGAAUGUGACCUCGGACAUUUAUCAGAACGACACUGUAUGUCAGAUGAUAUGGCAUCCUUAUUUUUCCAACCACUUUUGGCCUGGAAUCAGUUGAUUGAGGACAGAAGAAAAGCUGGUUAUUGGUUUAAAUGAAUAUGGGAUUGACUCUAGCACAAGGCUGCUGAAGAUCUGCACUCUUUCUGAUAACGGGAUGAUGAGCUG